UGUCAGAAAUCAGAUCAAAACAAGAAAAAAUGUUUCGGACAAAAUCCAAACGAAAUGAUCGGAAAAGUUCUCUUUCGAAUCAAAUUUAUUUAUUCAAAAGUGUCUAUAUUGUUCCUAGUGCCCAGCGGGAUGAUACUUGCGCCAUUAGGGUGAGUUAUAAUCAACAAACUCAAACGAUUUUUCGCCUCAAACAUCUCCGGUAUUGUCACCGUCAGGAGGAUGUUGGUGGCUACAGAAUUAACCGAAAUGGCCACUGGCAGUUGUUUACGGUGAUUCCAAGUUUCGGACCAUCGGAGAGCAGGCACCCGAAGUGCCACUUGUUAACGAAAUCGUCUUCCCUCUACAGCAUACAAAGCCUGAACUUCAGCCCACAUCAAAGAAGUACGCAUCGUAUGACAUUAUCCAUCUCCGAGAACGUCCUUAUGCAGGCUCACCCUCAACCAUACCGCUCGGAAACAAAAGUGACAAGCCAUUGUCGAUGCAACCGGCAAAGAUUGAGCAUGACAAUAAUUUUUAGGGCCGGAAAAUUGUGAUAAAGGAAUUUAGUGUACGGAUGAAUGUAUAUUUCUGCGCUGUUAAUUAUUAGAAUAUUUAAAAACAUAGAGGAUUUUACCUAUAAAACAAAUAUGUGUACACACCUAUAGGUGUCAAAAUUUAUUAUAUUUUGAACAAAAUGCGAAUAUAUAACAAAAAAUAAAUAGUU
rnacentral:lncRNA from 1 species